CUUCAAAAAAGCCCUCGCCUGGCCUCGCCUCUCGCCUAAAGCCAUAGAGUACCCUGUCACCUUAGUGUUGCCUUUUGCCUUGAUAUCACUGAUCUGCACAUCCCUUUCUUCCUACCUCUCUCUAUAUCUCUUGCACGCCUUCCCUUCUCUUCCUCCCACUUUCUCUUUCUCAUUCUGAUAUGCAAAUCUUUCUCCUUUUCCCUCCUUUUUUCUCAUUGUUAAUCUCUUGUUUAUUAGAGGCUCUACUACCCAAUUUCUAAUCUAAUAAUGUCUGAACCUUAUUGACUUUUUGUGCUUAUCUCUCAUUCUCUCUAUUCAUCAAAAGGAAGAACCAUCAGCAAAAUUCUUCUACCAAAACUUAGUGCCACCAACUUGGCUUUAAUGAACAUGGGUGUGGGUAAUCUUUUACUGGUGUAGCGUUUGGUGAUUUGGUUGACAAGGUUAAUUCAAUUUUUAAUUUAUGAAAUAAAAAAACUAAAACCCACUGACAUUCUUGAAUAGGCCAAAGUUUUUGACAUCAAAAAACAACUAUCAAAGGAAGCACAAACCUUAUCAAGCAAGAUUUCAAGAAG
rnacentral:misc_RNA from 1 species